ensembl:lncRNA
GCGUGCGUGCGUGCGUUUAUUUUUGUAUGGUCGUGGGCCUUCAUGAUAAUUAAAGUGUGUGUUCACGGUUUCACACGGUUAGCAUGACGGGACAGGGAUGGACUGCGAUUGGUCAGAAAGUGUUGAUCGGUUUUCUGUAACUGCAGCGCUGACUGUAGUGCAGCUUCAAAUCACAGGUUUAGAGAAAUGCAUCAUUGUAUAAAAGAUACGAAGAAAGGCUGGAGAGAUGGGGAAAGAGAGAAAGAAAGGCUGGAGAGAUGGGGAAAGAAAGAAAGGCUGGAGAGAUGUGGAAAGAAAGAAAGAAAGGCUGGAGAGAUAGGGAAAGAAAGAAGAAAGGCUGGAGAGAUGGGAGAAGAAAGAAAGAAAGAAAGGCUGGAGAGAUGGGAGAAGAAAGAAAGAAAGAAAGAGGCUGGAGAGAUGGGAGAAGAAGGAAAGAAAGAAAGGCUGGAGAGAUGGGAGAAGAAAAAAGCUGGAGAGAUGGGGAAAGAAAGAAAUGGUAGAGUGAUGGAGGAAGAAAGAAAGAGGCUGGAGAGAUGGGGAAAGAUAGAAAGGCUGGCGGGAUGGGAGAAGAAAGCAAGAGACAGGAUGGAGAGAUGGGAGAAGAAGCAAGAGACAGGAUGGAGAGAUGGGAGAAGAAAGAAAGAUGGAAAGAAAUAAAAAAGGAAAGAAAGAAAAAAAGACUGGUAAGAUGGGGGAAGAAAGAAAGAGAGGAUGGAAAGAUGGGGGAAGAAAGAAAGAAAGAGAGAGAGGUUGGAAAGAUCUUUCUACGUGCUCUCCGGUACGCGCCGUCACGUUAUACGCGUGUUUAAUGGUUUCUAAUGCCUCUCCGGCAUUGCGUGUUAUUUUUUAGGAGCAGAAAGAACAUUGUAUAAGAGAAAACCAUUCAACUCGGAAUAUUUCACGACUCUGUAGCUGCAUUACUAUCUGAAGAUAGUGUUUGACGUAAACCAGCGAAAAAUACUUCACGUGUUGUUGUUGUUGUUGUUGUUGUUGUUGUUUAGCUCAGGGAAAGGAGAGGAAGAAAGAAAGGGCGUUAAAAACAGCUGCUCG